rnacentral:rRNA from 1 species
UACAGAGGGUGCAAGCGUUAAUCGGAUUUACUGGGCGUAAAGCGUGCGUAGGCGGUUCAUUAAGUCGGUUGUGAAAUCCCUGGGCUUAACCUGGGAACUGCAGUCGAUACUGAUGGACUAGAGUGCGGUAGAGGGUGGCGGAACUCCGGGUGUAGCGGUGAAAUGCGUAGAUAUUCGCAAGAACACCAGUGGCGAAGGCGGCUCACUGGCCCGGUACUGACGCUGAGGUGCGAAAGCGUGGGGAGCAAACAGG